rfam:Schistosoma rodhaini strain Burundi genome assembly, scaffold: SROB_scaffold0001429
GUACUGCUGAGGAGUCCUAGACUAGGACGAAACGGCCGUCCAGUGC